GGGGCCAUAGCUCAGCUGGGAGAGCGCCUGCUUUGCACGCAGGAGGUCAGGAGUUCGAUCCCGCUUGGCUCCACCA
rnacentral:tRNA from 1 species